UAUUAUUAAAUGUAAAUAUAAAUAUUUAAGUAGUAAUAGUUAUGUUCUUGAAACUUAAAAAAUUUGGCGGUAUUUUAGUCUAUCCAGAGGAACCUGUUUUGUAAUCGAUAUUCCACGAUGGACCUUACUUAAGUUUGUUAAUCAGUUUAUAUACCGUCGUUAUCAGAAUAUUUUAUAAGAAUUAAAUAAUAUUCAAUAAUUUUAAUUAAAAUUUAUAUCAGAUCAAGGUGUAGCUUAUAUUUAAGUAAUAAUGGGUUACAAUAAAUUUAUUUAUAUGAAUAAAAUUAUGAAAAAAUUUUUGAAGGUGGAUUUGGUAGUAAAAUUAUAUAGAUUAAUAAUUUGAUUUUAGCUCUAAAAUAUGUACACAUCGCCCGUCGCUCUUAUUAUUAAGGUAAGAUAAGUCGUAACAUAGUAGAUGUACUGGAAAGUGUAUCUAGAAUGA
rnacentral:rRNA from 1 species